rnacentral:snoRNA from 1 species
CAUCGGCUUUGGCCACCUGUGGCUCUGUCUGUGGUUCCCAGUGAGAGAGGACACCCCAGCGGUGCCCGGGUCCCCAGCUCACAGCCCACCUUGGGGUAGGAAGGUGAAAGCCACGCUCCCACAUGU